rnacentral:rRNA from 1 species
UAUGCUUAGCCUUAAACCCAGAUGCUCCCUUACAUUUACAUCCGCCAGGGUACUACAAGCACAGCUUAAAACCCAAAGGACUUGGCGGUGCCUCAGACCCACCUAGAGGAGCCUGUUCUAGAACCGAUAACCCCCGUUAAACCUCACCACUCCUUGUUUCCCCCGCCUAUAUACCGCCGUCGUCAGCUUACCCUGUGAAGGUUUAACAGUAAGCAAAAUGGAUCCGCCCAAAAACGUCAGGUCGAGGUGUAGCGUACGAAGUGGGAAGAAAUGGGCUACAUUUUCUGCAAUAACAGAACACUACGAACGAUACUCUGAAACUAGUAUCCAAAGGUGGAUUUAGUAGUAAAAAACAAAUAGAGAGUCUUUUUGAAUUAGGCUCUGAGGCGC